AGACUGACGGGCUAAGAAUUACACUGUCCAGGGCUAAGGCUUGGUGGAAAGGAAGGAACAUGGCUGUAUCUGGGAUAGAUAUUUGGGCUGUGUGCUGAAAACUGUGGUGUGAAACUGGGGUUUAACACUGAAAACCUGAGGCUGAGGCUAAAAGCUGAGAACCUGGGUUUGGGCCUGAGGCUGCAGGGACGGGAACGUGGGGCUGAUGCUGGGGGUCAGUAGCUAGCCUGGGGCUGAGGCUCAUGUGCCAGUAAAUGUGAAUUACAUUUUUAACUCUUCUCUUCAGCUCAUAAAAGUGCUUCUUAUGAGUAUAAAAUAACUUCUUGGAAUGUUUGUCUCCUUUCUGUAAAUGCUGAGCAGGAAUGAGUGGCAUAUGAUAUUUACAUGAAAUGACCUCAUCCUCCAAAGUUCAUGAAGAAAGCAUCACUGACACUGCUUGCAGGCAAAAAGACUUUUAUUUUGGAUGAAACGAGACAGACAGAGAGACGAUGGAAAAAUAAAGUGGAGGCUGGACGGGGACGUGUGUUUGUGUGCAGCACUUAGAGGGUCGUAUCAGAGACAGGAUGAGAGCGCACAGCAGAGAGAAGUCAAAGACAGCAGCAAAAUGUUAGACUUUCAGUUUGAGUCACUGCUGACAUUUUAUGAAUAAUUCACUGACACACUUCUGGUCCCCUGCUCAGUCUUUAACUCAGAGGGUCCCAGGUUACAUCGUACCUUACCUUCUUCUCCACGAUGCUGCCAAUCUGCUAUUUUACUUUUGUACUCUGCAGCCUGGCUUGGCUCUCUUCUUCCUUGGAGUGCAAUAGGACGCAGUAUCCCUGGCCAGUAGUGUCGCCCAAGUUUUGCUGUAACAUGUGUCCACCAGGUCAUCGCAUGAUCCGGCGAACAAAUGACGUGUGUGGCAUUACAUGUGAAGCCUGCCAGGACAACCAGUACAUAGAGGCUCACAAUGUGGAGAUGAACUGCAAGUUUUGUGAAGUUUGUAACAAAGAAAAUAUGGUGUACAAGUCAAAUUGCAGUGCCACUCAUAACGCUGUGUGCGCAUGCAAAGCUGGGUACAGAUGCGAGAACCAAGACUGCACUGCAUGUGAGCUGAUCCCAACCACCACCAAGAAACCCACCCUCCCUCCGCCAACUAAAGCCUUGAAACCUACAACGCCGAGUGCACCCCCUAAACCAAUGGGAGAUAAGGUGUGGUUCCUGGUGAUAAUUGCCCUCCUUUGUGCUGGGAUCGCACUGGCUGUGGUAACAAAAAUCAAGCCGUUUCUACGCUGGACCAGAUCCAUUUAUGGCUACUUUCUGCCAGACAAACAGGAGCAUACAGAUGAUGCUGACAUAGAGGAUAAUGACAUGCCAAAGCCUGUUCAGGAAGUCUGUGGGAAAUGCGACCAACCUAUUGAAGUAUGAUAUAAAAGACUAGGACCCGAACCUGAUGAGGAAUUACAGGACACAGAGUGUCACAAAGUUGUGGACAACUUUCGUCAAACGGAGCAGCACAGCCCUCUGACAAAUGGAACCACAGAAGAUGGUUCAAGGCCAGCUGUGCUUCCUGAGAGGACAGAAGAACCUGUGACAUCUGUAACUGUUUAGAAACACUGAAAGCCUGAACAUAAAGGUUUGGACAGUGACUAAGCAUGACUAGGAAAUUUUGUAACAUAUUUGGAAGGUACUUUGGCACACGAUAUUCAGAUGCUUACCUUUGUAUGUAUGUAUAUAUAAAAAUGCUUUUAGAUACAUUUUUUUCAUUUCUUUAUUAAAAAUAAACAUUCUGUUUAUAC
ensembl:lncRNA